rnacentral:rRNA from 1 species
AGAGUUUGAUCAUGGCUCAGAUUGAACGCUGGCGGCAUGCUUUACACAUGCAAGUCGAACGGUAACAGGUCUUUCGGGAUGCUGACGAGUGGCGAACGGGUGAGUAAUGUAUCGGAACGUGCCCAGUAGUGGGGGAUAACUACUCGAAAGAGUGGCUAAUACCGCAUGAGAUCUCUGGAUGAAAGCGGGGGACCGUAAGGCCUCGCGCUACUGGAGCGGCCGAUAUCAGAUUAGGUAGUUGGUAGGGUAAGAGCCUACCAAGCCAACGAUCUGUAGCUGGUCUGAGAGGACGACCAGCCACACUGGGACUGAGACACGGCCCAGACUCCUACGGGAGGCAGCAGUGGGGAAUUUUGGACAAUGGGCGCAAGCCUGAUCCAGCAAUGCCGCGUGCAGGACGAAGGCCUUCGGGUUGUAAACUGCUUUUGUACGGAACGAAAAGCCUCUGGUUAAUACCUAGGGGUCAUGACGGUACCGUAAGAAUAAGCACCGGCUAACUACGUGCCAGCAGCCCGCGGGUAAUACGUAGGGUGCAAGCGUUAAUCGGAAUUUACUGGGCGUAAAGCGUGCGCAGGCGGUUGUG